rnacentral:rRNA from 1 species
GACGAACGCUGGCGGCGUGCCUAAUACAUGCAAGUUGAGCGCUGAAGGUUGGUACUUGUACCAACUGGAUGAGCAGCGAACGGGUGAGUAACGCGUGGGGAAUCUGCCUUUGAGCGGGGGACAACAUUUGGAAACGAAUGCUAAUACCGCAUAAAAACUUUAAACACAAGUUUUAAGUUUGAAAGAUGCAAUUGCAUCACUCAAAGAUGAUCCCGCGUUGUAUUAGCUAGUUGGUGAGGUAAAGGCUCACCAAGGCGAUGAUACAUAGCCGACCUGAGAGGGUGAUCGGCCACAUUGGGACUGAGACACGGCCCAAACUCCUACGGGAGGCAGCAGUAGGGAAUCUUCGGCAAUGGACGAAAGUCUGACCGAGCAACGCCGCGUGAGUGAAGUAGGUUUUCGGAUCGUAAAACUCUGUUGGUAGAGAAGAACGUUGGUGAGAGUGGAAAGCUCAUCAAGUGACGGUAACUACCCAGAAAGGGACGGCUAACUACGUG